UCCUUUCCCCCCCCCACUUUGUAACUUUUUGCGUGAUGUCAGACUGGUUAAAACCCGUUCCUUCACCAAAGAGGAAGAACAGAGAGGGAAUGACACUGACCAUUUUCACAUGCAACUGAAACUCCAUAAGAAGGACUAAAAAUAAGGACCAAACAGCAACACUUCCAACAGUGCAAAGCAUAAACUCAGGCUCUCUUCCACCUGCUCCCUACGCUCACAGCAGACUACAAUGUCAUCCGCAAACAUCAAAGUUCACAGAGACUCCUGCCUGACCUCAACUGUCGGAGUGUUCAGAGGUCCGGCUGACGCUGUGGUGAAGACGCAGGGUGCUCGUUCUGGUUUACACUUUCAUAAGAAAAUGGAUAAUUCUUAAAUCUUAGAACUAAUCCUCCUUUUUUCCUUACUGUUCUUAAUCUUAAAACCUUGCCGUAAGUUUAAUGUGCCUGUAAACAUCUGGUUUAUCAAGAUCUAAACCUAAAGUUUAUUAUUCUUUCUGAGUUGUCAUACUUACAUAAAUUAUUACGGACGCCUA